AGAUUGAACGCUGGCGGCAUGCCUUACACAUGCAAGUCGAACGGCAGCGCGGGAGCAAUCCUGGCGGCGAGUGGCGAACGGGUGAGUAAUACAUCGGAACGUGCCCAAUCGUGGGGGAUAACGCAGCGAAAGCUGUGCUAAUACCGCAUACGAUCUACGGA
rnacentral:rRNA from 1 species